rnacentral:piRNA from 1 species
UGAACUUCCACAAUAGAGGAACCAUGUCUAC